UACGGGGGGGGCAAGCGUUGUUCGGAAUUACUGGGCGUAAAGGGCUCGUAGGCGGCCAACUAAGUCAGACGUGAAAUCCCUCGGCUUAACCGGGGAACUGCAUCUGAUACUGGAUGGCUUGAGUUCGGGAGAGGGAUGCGGAAUUCCAGGUGUAGCGGUGAAAUGCGUAGAUAUCUGGAGGAACACCGGUGGCGAAGGCGGCAUCCUGGACCGACACUGACGCUGAGGCGCGAAGGCUUGGGGAGCGAACGGG
rnacentral:rRNA from 1 species